CUGUCACAACGGCUUCCUGACGUGGCAGGGUUAUCACAACGGAGCA
rnacentral:ncRNA from 1 species